rnacentral:rRNA from 1 species
AAUCAACGCUGGCGGCGUGCCUAACACAUGCAAGUCGAACGAGAAAGUGGAGCAAUCCACAAGUAAAGUGGCGCACGGGUGAGUAACACGUGACUAACCUACCCUUGAGUGGGGGAUAACCUAGGGAAACCUGGGCUAAUACCGCAUAAUACCUAUGGGUCAAAGGAGCAAUUCGCUUUUGGAGGGGGUCGCGGCAGAUUAGUUAGUUGGCAGGGUAAUGGCCUACCAAGACGAUGANCUGUAUCCGGCCUGAGAGGGCGCACGGACACACUGGAACUGAAACACGGUCCAGACUCCUACGGGAGGCAGCAGUGGGGAAUUUUGCGCAAUGGGGGAAACCCUGACGCAGCAACGCCGCGUGGAGGAUGAAGACCCUUGGGUCGUAAACUCCUUUCGAUCGGGACGAUAAUGACGGUACC